rnacentral:lncRNA from 1 species
AUCUUGCACAGCCCUAAAUCCAUUUAACCCUGAGUUUGACACAGCACAUGUUUCAGAGAGCACGGGGUUGGGGGUAAGGUCAUAGAUUAACAGAAUCUCAAGGCAGAAGAAUUUUUCUUAGUACAGAACAAAAUGGAGUCUCCUAUGUCUACUUCUUUCUACACAGACACAGUAACAAUCUGAUUUCUCUUGCUUUUCCCCACAUUUCCCCCUUUUAUUUUCAACAAAACCGCCAUCAUCAUCAUGGCCCGUUCUCGAUGGUCGCUGUCUCUUUGGAGCUGUUGGGUACACCUGCAGGCUAACGACAGACAAAACAGGCACACAAGGAUUAAUAUGAGAUUUAUAAUCAUAGUACUUCCGAUGGUCUUAACCCAAGUGACAGGGUUAAGAUUUGCGAGGCCAUCAGCAACUCCUGCAAUUGCCUCAGUUCCUGGCACCAAAUUUAAAUGGGCUUUUGAUGCUUCGAAAAUUUGUUCUUUUAAUUUGGAAAUGUCUAAAGUGAGAUUAUCUUCUCUUCCCUGUAGAUGGCGUCUAACCAUGUCCCAGUGAUGCUCAGACUCAUUAUAAAUUUGGGGUGUAAUACAAAAAUCUGACGUAUUCCAGUCACACUGUAACUGGAAACGAUGUUCUAAGCUCAUGAGUCUGUCUCCCAUCCAAAUGACAGUUUGUCUAAGAUCAUUAAUUUGAUUUGCCAAUUUUUGAUCAAUACUAGAUUGUGAAUUCCACAAUCUUGUAGAAUUCUUUUGCCAAUCAUUAACAAAGUUUACCGACUGAACAGAAGAGUGCAAUGCAACUCCUGCCACAGCAGCCAUAGCUGUGACUGCAAUUAAUCCCAUAAUCACUGCAAUUAAAGUAAAAAUGAAUCUUUUGGAUCUAUUUAAAAUGCCUUUUAAUACUUCAGUCAAAAUAUGGAUGGAUGGCGAGGCCUCCCACGGUCAGUCCAUGGACACAGGGCUCCACACGCCCUCUCUUGCUCUCACCAGCAGAAUAUGGUGCUGCCAAUUAAAAGUUGAAUCAAUGCAAGUAAACAAUCUACAAUUUUCACAGGUUAUAGUUUGGGAGUCUGGUUUAAUAACUAUAUUUCCUACAACUAGCAUAUAAGGGGGCUUUACGCAACUUUGUAAAGGAACCGUUAGACUGGAAUUUAGGUCGAUAGUAUAAAAUGGCUUACGAUCUCAUUUCUAAAGUUUGAUUUCCAGACCAAAUUCUAAUGUGGUGUGAGGCCACAGUAAGCCUCCAUAAUUCUGGAUGUUCAGGACCAGAAACAGGACUUAUUAUUUCUGGUCUUGGGGUAGAGAUUCCUUUUUCUCCCCAUUCCCAAGGGUAGAAAGACUGUAAUUUUUUAUGCUUAUGUUUGUCUAGACUUUCUGUUAAGUCGCUAUCAACAGCUGGACUCACUUGUGCACUUGGACACGACUGAGUUUGUCCUGAGCAAUUGUGUUAGAAUUGACCUCGAGGUGCCCAAUCUAUAAUAGUUCCGAAUUCAUUGUUUUGUAAUAUCACCGCACUAUUGGCCACACAUUCUUCCCAAACUAAAACUUCUGUAUUUUUUGAUUUUUU